UACGUAGGGGGCAAGCGUUGCCCGGAAUCAUUGGGCGUAAAGAGCGUGUAGGCGGCUCGGUAAGUCCGCUCUGAAAGCCCGGGGCUCAACCCCGGGAGGCGGGCGGAUACUGUCGGGCUAGAGUCCGGAAGAGGCGAGUGGAAUUCCUGGUGUAGCGGUGAAAUGCGCAGAUAUCAGGAAGAACACCCGUGGCGAAGGCGGCUCUCUGGGACGGUACUGACGCUGAGACGCGAAAGCGUGGGGAGCGAACAGG
rnacentral:rRNA from 1 species